rnacentral:rRNA from 1 species
AACGAACGCUGGCGGCAUGCCUAACACAUGCAAGUCGAACGAGACCUUCGGGUCUAGUGGCGCACGGGUGCGUAACGCGUGGGAAUCUGCCCUUGGGUUGGGAAUAACAGUUGGAAACGACUGCUAAUACCGGAUGAUGACGUAAGUCCAAAGAUUUAUCGCCCAAGGAUGAGCCCGCGUAGGAUUAGCUAGUUGGUGAGGUAAAGGCUCACCAAGGCGACGAUCCUUAGCUGGUCUGAGAGGAUGAUCAGCCACACUGGGACUGAGACACGGCCCAGACUCCUACGGGAGGCAGCAGUGGGGAAUAUUGGACAAUGGGCGAAAGCCUGAUCCAGCAAUGCCGCGUGAGUGAUGAAGGCCUUAGGGUUGUAAAGCUCUUUUACCCGGGAUGAUAAUGACAGUACCGGGAGAAUAAGCUCCGGCUAACUCCGUG